GACGAACGCUGGCGGCGUGCCUAAUACAUGCAAGUAGAACGCUGAAGGAGGAGCUUGCUUCUCCGGAUGAGUUGCGAACGGGUGAGUAACGCGUAGGUAACCUGCCUGGUAGCGGGGGAUAACUAUUGGAAACGAUAGCUAAUACCGCAUAAUAGCAGUUAUUGCAUGAUAACUGUUUGAAAGGUGCAAUUGCACCACUACCAGAUGGACCUGCGUUGUAUUAGCUAGUUGGUGGGGUAACGGCUCACCAAGGCGACGAUACAUAGCCGACCUGAGAGGGUGAUCGGCCACACUGGGACUGAGACACGGCCCAGACUCCUACGGGAGGCAGCAGUAGGGAAUCUUCGGCAAUGGACGGAAGUCUGACCGAGCAACGCCGCGUGAGUGAAGAAGGUUUUCGGACCGUAAAGCUCUGUUGUAAGAGAAGAACGAAGUGUGAGAGUGGAAAAG
rnacentral:rRNA from 1 species